AAGGCGUUUCCUCUGCCAUUUCUCGCAUAAUUCAUUUAACAGACAUAAAACAAUCCCACCAUGUCGAAUGAAUAAAUGAUCUGUCAGUAUUCCUAAAAUUGUAUCGAAAUGUCUUGUUUCCAUCACAGCUGUCCUGAUUAUUUUUUAUUCGCUGUGACUUUACUCGCAUAAAAACUGUGGUUGGAAACGUGGUUAGUGUCAUGGCACGCUUUGUGUAAAGCUGUUGAAGAUUGAAAUGCCAUUUUUUUUAUGUUAGAGAAAAAUACACAGCUUUUUUUAUUAUCUUCCCCUGAUUCAGAAUAUAUAAUUUUCAUAGUCAUGGCAUGCUUUGUGUAAGAGCUAUAGACGAGAGAACCGAAUAUCCACUGAAUAUCCAGUAUAAAACAUAUUUUACCUCUGUAUGAGCCCUUGAUUUGAGCCCAGCAGAGGAUCACGACAUUGAGACUAUCGACGUCCACGCUUCAGAGACGUGUGGCCAAGCUCAUCACACAGAAGAGCAGCUGUAUGAGGACCUGGGGUCUUCUCCUCCAAAGACCUGGUACCGCGAUGGGAGAUGAUGAGGUGCCUGAACUGUGAGAAGGACUGCAUGAUGGCCAUGGUCCCUUUCUGCCUGUACAACACCUUUGCAGUGCUACUGUAUGGGCAACUCACCUCCUCUCUCGCCUUGGCCAACCUUUAUUAGCUCUGUGCCCAUUAAACCUGACCUGAGCGCUCAUUCUGCAUGGAGACACUUAAUUGCAUGGUACCGUGGGUGCCAGUCCUCCAUGGGGUAACUAAUAAGCGCUGGUUCCUGAGGAGACUAUGCAUGAACUGUAUAUGAACUGUAAAACUUUCCCUCUUUUUCACUCCUCUCAGUUCCGCUCAUUAUUUUAAUCACCUCAGAAACGAUGCUCUCUGAAUUAAACCCACGUCUGAAAAUGUGUGUGUCUUGUGUAACUUAACAAAUAAGAAUGAAAUAUGAAAUCGUUCCUUCUUUAUAAAUUAUUCCAUUAAGUGUAAUGUUAAAUGGUUUACAAAUAAUCAGUAAUGACUUAAUUUCAUGAAAUGUAUGAAUCUGGAUGUGCAAUCAAACUGGGGAAUUCUUUUUUUUUUUAAAUGUAUGGUUUUAAAAGAAUAACAAGACUAAAGAUGUAUUUCCAGUGUAAUUGUUUUUUGUACUUGUGUUUAUUGUUUAAAGUUAGACAUCCAAGGUAAAAAUGCUGUGCCUCAUGACAUAUAUUUAGCAGAUGGCCAUGUUACUUGAAAAGAUAAGGUGUUUCAUAUUGCUUUAGAUUCUGAGUAGGUGUUCUCAGAGCGUUAACCAUUUAGUGGUCACCCGCUCCCCUGCAUACGGCAUGUCUAUAAAGCUGUGAUUAUCCCGAAAAGGCAAUAGUUUGCUGGGGACGUAGGAGACCUCUGUUGAACACUUAGUGGUGAGUCUGUGUGUGGUAGUCGUCUCUCAAGGGGACAAUAUGUCAGCCCACAAGAGGAGGUGUUUAUUUUGUCAUGUUUCUUCUGUGGAUUUCUCAGCACAUUCAGGUCAGACCCCAGACACGCCGGACUCACAGAUAUUCCAUGAGACAAUACUGGGUCAUUUAAUUAUGGUAGCAUCCAUCUGAAAUAUGUUUUUGUUUAUUGUGAUGAUUUCCCUCGGUGUUUCCUUUCAAAUCCAGGACAAUGUGUACAAUUAUUGGUUUGUUUU